UUGUAAAAAGAGCUUUGUCUUCGCUUAUAAGCUUAUAGUCGAAGACUAAAGUCUACUUUAGUCUCUAACCCACGAUACAACUAAAAUAAAUCAAACCUCUCACUUACCCCAAAUCAGACCCUUCGCUUACCCCCAAAUCAGACCUAUCCCAAAUCAGUUACUCCAUCGCUUACAGCUACUCCCAACUCCUCCGACGACGAUGACGGCCCAAACGAGGUCUAGUUCUCCUCCCCCAACAACCCCAAACAACGACGAGGACGUCUCUCUCUGUUUCUAUCCCCGAAGUCUCUUAUUUUCUCUCCGUCAAUGGUCACGAGAAGGACGACGACGCCCUCAUGCUCUCUCUCAUCUGAUCUACGACGACGCCCCGAUGUGCUGCGUGUACUACUGAGUAGUUUUUAAUGAUGCUGAUGAUGAUGUUGUUGGGGAAGAAAUUGAAAAGUUGUUAUUCCAUUUGAUGGAAAAGCCCUAAUCAAGGUUUUGCGGUUGAUCAUCGAGGGUCCAAAUUUGAGGUGGAACACAAUUUCUUUCAAGUGUUUAUUGGUUUGUUGGCUACUUAGAGUUGUCAUUGAAUGCUUGAGAUCGUUUGUGUCGCGAAGAUCGCUCACUUGGAUCCUUUGUUAAAACAUUGUGAAAGCUCUAAAUUCAUUCGUUCUUAUAAAAGAAAAGUUUGGAAUGAAGAAAGCAUACGAUGCGGAGACGAUGUUGCUACCACUGCAACAUCAAUGGUUAUCGAAAUUGACACAAUAUUUGUACCAGUUAGCUUUAGACUUUUAAUUUUAGGCAAUACUUAUUUUAUGUAUAAUUUUUAUUAGUAAGGAUUUUUCAUAUUUUGUAAUGUAUACUUUAACUUUGUUAUAAUAUAAUUAGAAUAUUUUUUGU